GGUGUCCUCCACAAAGCAAGUACCAACAGAUACUUAAGAAAAAGGUGGAACUAGGCAUGGGGACACAAUAAUAGAAGUGUCACUCUUUCCUCCUGGGCUCCACUCAGGUCAGAUGAGCCCAUUUUAAACAGUGAUAAACAGAAAACCAACAGUUGGCCCUGAUGGAAACCACUGAUGAACAGUUCUUUUCUAUGGAACAUAGACAGUCCAAGAAUCAGCAAAUGAACCAAGACCGAUUUCA